GUCCAUACGAGGAUGCAGUCGUGAGAUUUGUGUGACUGCGUGCAAAGCUAACGAUACAUCGUGUGAAACACGUUAAUGACGCGCUUCAGGGAAACGAAAAUUUAAAUGUGACAAUUCAAGUGUUAACCCAAUUACAUUUUAGUCGUAAAUAUACAUAACGUAAUUUUUGAGAUACGGGAGGAAGAAGAAAGGGAAAGAAGGAAGGGAAG